rnacentral:misc_RNA from 1 species
UCAAGUACCGAGUAGCCACGCUACUCAAACACCAAUGUGAAUUGACACUGGGUAUGUUCAAUUUAUUGAGUAUGCCCAUCUGUCUAUCUCUGAGGAGAUACAUAAACCAUUAAACGAGUCGGAUAAAACACUAAAACAAA